AUUGAACGCUGGCGGCAGGCCUAACACAUGCAAGUCGAGCGGCAGCGGGAAAGUAGCUUGCUACUUUUGCCGGCGAGCGGCGGACGGGUGAGUAAUGCCUGGGGAUCUGCCCAGUCGAGGGGGAUAACUACUGGAAACGGUAGCUAAUACCGCAUACGCCCUACGGGGGAAAGCAGGGGACCUUCGGGCCUUGCGCGGAUGGAUGAACCCAGGUGGGAUUAGCUAGUUGGUGAGGUAAUGGCUCACCAAGGCGACGAUCCCUAGCUGGUCUGAGAGGAUGAUCAGCCACACUGGAACUGAGACACGGUCCAGACUCCUACGGGAGGCAGCAGUGGGGAAUAUUGCACAAUGGGGGAAACCCUGAUGCAGCCAUGCCGCGUGUGUGAAGAAGGCCUUCGGGUUGUAAAGCACUUUCAGCGAGGAGGAAAAGUUGGUAGCUAAUAACUGCCAGCUGUGACGUUACUCGCAGAAGAAGCACCGGCUAACUCCGUGCCAGCAGCCGCGGUAA
rnacentral:rRNA from 1 species